rnacentral:rRNA from 1 species
AGAGUUUGAUCCUGGCUCAGAUUGAACGCUGGCGGCAGGCUUAACACAUGCAAGUCGAGCGGGGAAAGGUAGCUUGCUACCUGACCUAGCGGCGGACGGGUGAGUAAUGCUUAGGAAUCUGCCUAUUAGUGGGGGACAACAUUUCGAAAGGAAUGCUAAUACCGCAUACGCCCUACGGGGGAAAGCAGGGGAUCUUCGGACCUUGCGCUAAUAGAUGAGCCUAAGUCAGAUUAGCUAGUUGGUGGGGUAAAGGCCUACCAAGGCGACGAUCUGUAGCGGGUCUGAGAGGAUGAUCCGCCACACUGGGACUGAGACACGGCCCAGACUCCUACGGGAGGCAGCAGUGGGGAAUAUUGGACAAUGGGCGAAAGCCUGAUCCAGCCAUGCCGCGUGUGUGAAGAAGGCCUUUUGGUUGUAAAGCACUUUAAGCGAGGAGGAGGCUACUUAGAUUAAUACUCUAGGAUAGUGGACGUUACUCGCAGAAUAAGCACCGGCUAACUCUGUGCCAGCAGCCGCGGUAAUACAGAGGGUGCGAGCGUUAAUCGGAUUUACUGGGCGUAAAGCGUGCGUAGGCGGCUUUUUAAGUCGGAUGUGAAAUCCCUGAGCUUAACUUAGGAAUUGCAUUCGAUACUGGGGGGCUAGAGUAUGGGAGAGGAUGGUAGAAUUCCAGGUGUAGCGGUGAAAUGCGUAGAGAUCUGGAGG